GCGCUGUGGGGCAGGGCUGUGCUAUGGGGCAGGGCUGUGCUAUGGGGCAGAGCUAUGGGGCAGGGCUGUGCUAUGGGGCAGGGCUGUGCUAUGGGGCAGAGCUAUGGGGCAGAGCUAUGGGUCCAUACCAGUACGGGGUGCCCACGAAGCUGCAGGCCGAGGCGCUGUGGGGCAGGGCUGUGCUAUGGGGCAGGGCUGUGCUAUGGGGCAGAGCUAUGGGGCAGAGCUAUGGGUCCAUACCAGUAUGGGGUGCCCACGAAGCUGCAGGCCGAGGCGCUGUGGGGCAGGGCUGUGCUAUGGGGCAGGGCUGUGCUAUGGGUCCCGCUAUGGGGCAGGGCUAUGGGUCCCGCUAUGGGGCAGAGCUAUGGGUCCGUACCAGUACGGGGUGCCCACGAAGCUGCAGGCCGAGGCGCCGUGGGGCAGGGUUGUGCUAUGGGGCAGGGCUAUGGGUCCCGCUAUGGGGCAGGGCUGUGCUAUGGGGCAGAGCUAUGGGUCCCGCUAUGGGUCCAUACCAGUACGGGGUGCCCACGAAGCUGCAGGCCGAGGCGCUGUGGGGCAGGGCUGUGCUAUGGGGCAGGGCUGUGCUAUGGGUCCCGCUAUGGGGCAGGGCUAUGGGUCCCGCUAUGGGGCAGGGCUAUGGGUCCAUACCAGUACGGGGUGCCCACGAAGCUGCAGGCCGAGGCGCUGUGGGGCAGGGCUGUGCUAUGGGGCAGGGCAGGGCUAUGGGUCCCGCUAUGGGUCCCGCUAUGGGGCAGAGCUAUGGGGCAGAGCUAUGGGUCCAUACCAGUACGGGGUGCCCACGAAGCUGCAGGCCGAGGCGCUGUGGGGCAGGGCUGUGCUAUGGGGCAGGGCAGGGCUAUGGGGCAGGGCUAUGGGUCCCGCUAUGGGGCAGGGCUGUGCUAUGGGUCCCGCUAUGGGGCAGGGCUGUGCUAUGGGGCAGGGCUGUGCUAUGGGUCCCGCUAUGGGGCAGGGCUAUGGGUCCCGCUAUGGGGCAGAGCUAUGGGUCCCGCUAUGGGUCCAUACCAGUACGGGGUGCCCACGAAGCUGCAGGCCGAGGCGCUGUGUGCGGCUGAGCCGAAGUCGCUGAGUUUGAUGCGGCCCCGCGGGGACAGCAGAACGUUGGCGGCCUUCACGUCUCUGUGGGGCAGAGCGGGGGGUCAGAGG
ensembl:lncRNA